AGGAGUGAGUGCCAUUGCUAUUACAAAGGAAAACGUUUGAGGCAAACACAGGUUCUUGAAGUGGAUAAGUCACCUCAACCAGAUGGACUACAUCCCAGAGUCCUGAGAGAGGUUGCUGGAGAGAUAACAGAUGCAUUGGUCAUGACACGUCAAGAAUCACUUGAUUCUGGCAUGGUCCCAGAGGACAGGAAGAUUGCAAAUGUCAAUCCACUCUUUGGGAAGGGAGGAAGGCAAAGUAAAGCAAAUUAUAGUCCAGUUAGCCUAACCUCAGUGGCUGGGAAAGUGUGGAGUCAUGAUAACAGUUGAGGUUUUGGUGUACUAGGAGACUAAUGAUAUAAUGUCAAAGCCAGCAUAAGUUCUAUACAGGGAAAUCUUGCCUGACAAGUCUGUUACAGAUCUUCGAGGAAGCCAUAAGCAGGAUGGACAAACGAGAGGCAGUGGAUAUCAUUUACUUGGACUUUCAGAAAGCUUCCGAUAAGGUGUCACACAUGAAACUGCUUAACAGGAUAAAUGUCAGAAGUAAUACUGGCAUGGACAGAGGAAUGGCUGACAGCCAAGAGGCAGCGAGUGGGAAUAAAAGGGGCCUUUUCUGGUUGGCCAGCAGUGAUUAGUUGUCUUCAGGGGUCAGUAUUCGGACCGCUACUUUUCACAUUGUUUGUCAAUGACUUGGAUAAUGGAACUGAUGGCUUUGUGACAAGGUUUGCGGAUGAUACAAAGAUAGGUGGAGGCGAUGGUGGUGCUGAGGGAGCAAUACGUUUGCAGCAGGACACAAGUUUGAAGAACGGGCAAAUGGAAUACAAAACUGGGAAAUGUACAACAAAGCAUUUUGGCAAAAGGAACAAUGGUGAACUAUCAUCUGAUUGGGGAGAAGGUUCAAACCACAGAUGUACAGAAGGAAAUGUGAUGAUGAUGAUGAUGAUGAUGAUGACGUCGUCGACUCAGGACUGACUCAGGGCAGCGUCGGGCAUUUUCGUGCCUUACAAGGCGCGGAUCGGAAGGUUGUGUGGGGCGCUACUCCUCACACAGACAUUUCACAGUAUCUUUCUUUAUUUGAUGAGGUCGAAUUGCGAGCUCAACACUCAAUCCGGCACGAAUGGAAAGCGUACAAGGGAGCGACUGUAUUCGAACCCAGGGACCUCCGUUACGGAGUCCGGCGCUGACGUCACUACGCCACCAGGACCUUGGGCAAGACUCCCAGAAGAUUAGUUUACGGGUUGAGUCUAUGGUAACGAAGGCAACUGCAAUGCUGGCUUUAUUUAAAGUGAAGUAGAAUAUACUAGCAAGGAGAUAAUGCUGUUACUUUAUAAGAGACUACUCAGGCCACACGUCAGAACAUAAGAAAUGGGAGCAGGAGUCGGCCAUUGGCCCAUUGAGCCUGCCCCGCCAUUCAAUAAAAUCAUGGCUGAACUCAGCUCCAUCUACCAGCCUUUUCCCUAUAACCAUUAAUUACCUUAUUCUGCAAAAACCUAUCUAACUGUAUCUUAAAUAUACUUCGUGAGGAAACCUCAACUGCUUCCCUGGACAGAGAAUUCCACAGAUUCAGCACUCUCUGGGAAAAACAGUUUCUCCUCAUCUCCGCCCUAACUCUUCUCUCCUGAAUCUUGAGGCAAUGUCCCCAAGUUCUAGUCUCAUCUACCAAUGGAAACAACUUUCCUACUUCUAUCUUAUCUAUCCCUUUCAAAAUUCUGGGUAUUUCUAUAAGAUUCCCUCUCAUUCUUCUGAACCCCAGAGAGAAAAGUCCCAGGCGACUCAAUCUCUCCUCAUAGGUUAACCCCCUCAUCCCUGGAAUCAAACUGGUUCACCUUCUCUGCAUUGCCUCCAAAGCCAGUACUGUCUAUCCUUCCUCGUGUACGGAGACCAGAACUGCACACAGUACUCCAGGUGCGGCCUCACCGGUACUCUGUAUAGUGGCAGCAUUACCUCCCUGCUCUUGAAUUCAAUCCCUCUACCAAUGAAGGGUAAUAUUCUGUUAGAGUUAGAGUAUGUGGGACUUCUAUCUUAGAAAAUGUGCGUUGUCAUUGGAGAGAGUCCAGAGGAUCUUCAAGAAGAUGAUUCCGGGAAUGAAGGGGUUAAGUAUGAGAAGCGUUUGCCAGCUUUGGGCCUGUACUCCUGCACUGACUUAUGUUUAGUAAAUGUGGGUGGAGGGUGUUCAGAAGCUGCAGAAGGCUGUAAAUCUCGUCACCUCCAUCUUGGGUACGAGACUACAAAGCAUCCAGGACAUCUUUAGGAAGCGGUAUCACAGAAAGGCAGCGUCCAUUAUAAAGGACCUUCAGCACCCAGGACAUGCCCUUUCCUCACUGUUACCAUCAGGUAGGAGAUACAGAAGCCUGAAGGCGCACACUCAGUGAUUCAGGAAAAGCUUCUUCCCCUCUGCCAUCCGAUUCCUGAAUGGACUUUGAAAGCUUUGGACACUCUUCAAUAUACAGUAUUUCUGUUUUUACACAUUUUAAUAAACUAUUCAUCACACAUAAUUGAUUUACUUGUUGAUUACUGUUUUAAUUAGUUUAUUAUUAUCUAUGCCAGAAUAUGAAUUGCAUUGAACUGCUGUUUGAUUAUUGUUUUAAUUCAUUUAUUAUUAUCUAUGCCAGAAUAUGAAUUGCAUUGAACUGCUGCUGCUGUCAACAAAUUUCAAGCCAAAUGCCUGUUGUAAUAAACCUCAUCCUGAAUCCUGAAUCUCACUGAAACCCACCGAAUGUGGAAAAGUCCAGAUAGGGUGUAUGAGGAGAGGCCUUUUCCUAUGGUGGGGGUAGCCAUAACAGAGGGCACAGCCUGAAAGCGGAGGAGCAACCUUUUAGAGCAGUUAAGGAGGAUUUUAUUUAGUCAGACAGCAGUGAAUCUGUGGAAUUCUCUGACACAGAUGGCGGUGGGGGCCAACUCUGUGUGUACAUUUCAGGCAAAAGCUAAUAGUUUAUGGAUCAGUCGAGGCAUUACAGGAUAUGCCGAGGAGACAGGUGCAUGGGGUUGAGUGAGAACCGGGAUCAGCCAUGAUAGAACGGCGGAGCAGACUCAAUGGGUCUGACUGGCCUAAUUCUGCUCCUAUGUCUGAUAGUCUUAUAAUGCGAGUGUCUUACACAGUGAAGAUUGACACAAAAUACUUAUUACAUUCGGCCGCGAUUUCUUUGCCCUAUUACUAACACGCCAUCAUCAUCUUCCAGUGGUACAAUAUCAACUCUUCCCUCUCUUUUACCCUUUAUAUAUCUAAACAACUUUUGAUACCUGAUAUUAUUGGCUCAAUUACCGUAAUUUUUCAUCAUGUCUCUCCUGUGUGUGUGUGUGUGUGUUUUUGUUGUCUCCUGUUGGGUAUGUAAAAGAUUUCCAAUCCUCUCACUUCCCACUGUUUUCUUGCCAUAUUACGUGACCCCGCUUUUGCUUUUAUCAAAAACAGGAGAAAAUCUGUGGGUGCUGGGAAUCCAAGCAACACAGACACAAAAUGCUGGAGGAACCUGGGAGGCCAGGCAGCAUAUAUGGGAAAUAGCAAACAGUCGACGUUUCGGGCCGAGACCCUUCAUCAGGACUGGGAACAAAGAAGAUGAGACAUCAGAGGAAGCAGUGUGGGGGUGAAGGGGUGGAAGGCGUGGUAGGUGAUGGGUGACACUGGGAGACGGGGAGCAGUGAAGGAAAAAUCUUCUUUGGAUUUUAUUUCCUUAACGAUUCUCCAAAGAUCAUUGCUAAUGCCUCCACAUCACUUCAGCCACCUCUUUCAGAUCUCAGGGGUGUACACCAUCUGGUCCAGGUGACCUAUUUACCUUCAGACCAUCUCUGUAUCCCAAAGAACCUUCUCCCGUGUAACGUAACUUUACACAUUCUGACCACUGACAUCUGGGACUUCCAUAUUCCUGCCAGUGUCUUCGAGAGAUAAGAGUGAUGUACAAGAUUUAUUCAGUUCAUCUGCCAUCACCUUGCAGCCCCACCCCGUUUCUACCUCUCCAGCAUCAUUUUUCAGUGGUCCGAUAUCCACUUCAGCCUCUCUCUUACAAUAUAUGUACCUGAAGAAAAAUUUGGUAUCCUCUUUAAUAUUGCGGGUAGCUCAUCUAUGUAUUCCAUCUUUGCUGCCUGACAAUGACGGAAAACGUAGUUUACUUUAUUCAAUGUAGUCUUGUUUUUUUUAGUAUGUUUCAAUUGCGCUUAAGCCCAAAGUGCAUAGAGAUAUGUAGGUAAUACAUGAUACUUAUGGGGUAUUAGCCUUCAUAAGUGGAGGAAUAGAGUUGAAGUGUCGCGAGGUAAUGAUGCAGCUCUAUAAAACUCCAGUUCGGCCACACUUCGAGUACUGUGUCCAGUUCUGGUCGCCUCACUAUAGGAAGGAUGUGGAAGCAUUGGAAUGGGUACAGAGGAGAUUUACCAGGUUGCUGCCUGGUUUAAGGAGUAUGGAUUAUGAUCAGAGAUUAAGGGAGCUUGGGCUUUACUCUUUGAAAGAAGGAGGAUGAGAGGAGACAUGAUAGAGAAGUACAAGAUAUUAAGAGGAAUAGACAGAGUGGGCAGCCAGCGCCUCUACCCCAGGGCACCACUGCUCAGUACAAGAGGACAUGGCAAGGGGAGGGAAGUUCAAGGGGGAUAUUAGAGGAAGGUUUUUCACUCAGAGAGUGGUUGGUGCGUGGAAUGCACUGCCCGAGUCAGUGGUGGAGGCAGAUACACUAGUGAAAUUUAAGAGACUACUAGACAGGUAUAUGGAGGAAUUUGUGGGAGGCUAUAUGGGAGGCAGGGUUUGAGGGUCACCACAACAUUGUGGGCCGAAGGGCCUGUAAUGUGAUGUACUAUUCUAUGUUUUAUAAUCAAUACAUUAUUUCAGAUAGGACAAUCCGUACGAACCAUUCGAAUAUAAUAUUACAGGAUUAAUAAGCAGGAACAACUCCUCCAAUAGAUAAAACCAUUCCAAACACAUACAUUCCUCAACCAGUGGAGCACCUUACCACAGGCAUUGUUUGUGUCAUCAGUCAGACAACCGAAAGAUUUUCUCUAUCAAUCAGCUUCCAAAUGUUGCUACUCUGUCAUUCGUUGACACGCUCCGCUGCUGAUUCCCUUCUCCUUAUCAUACGUUCUUACCCCGACCGUCGUCCAGAGCCCCAAACUCUGCCUUGUGCAGACCCGCCUCUGGUUUCUGACCCUGCUCCGUUGAACAUCCAAACAAUGGUUUCGCAUUCUGCUUUCAGUCUUUAGAGGACAGUGUGUUUUCAACAACACUUUAGUAGCAGUGGAAAUGACCCAUAAUGUGGAAAUGAGCCAUGAAUAAGGAGGUUAACUCCCAAAUUCAUUCUUCCUCAGCUCAGAGAUUUCAGGGGUAAAGAACAUCUCAGACAGAACUGCAGUCAGCUCAAUUUCUUCAGUCUGCAGAAAAUUCAGGGAAACCUCUUCACCCACAGGAUGGUGACUGUUUGGAACCCAUCACCACAGGGAGAGCAAGAGGUGAACAACAGGGGAGGACUUAAAAGGACUGUCCUGGAACAGAAUCACAGGCAGGGUCCAGCCGGCAUGAGUUGACCCUCCACUGUGCACAAGGAUCCCAAUGCAGGGAGUGCCAAGCAGACGGGCUGAGUAAGCGGCUGGACCACUCUGGGGACUGCAGAGACUGACCGGGUGCCCAAUAGGUUAAAAAAGGUCCAUUUCAUGAAAUAUAAACCAAGAAAUAAAAAGAAACCAGAAUUACCAGAAACACUCAGCAGGUAAGGAACAGCUUACAAUACAAUUCAAUUAAUAACAUUUCAUCAGAUUGAGUUCAAACAUUUUCAGUUUUUAGUGCAGAUCUCCAGCACAGCUGCCUGAUUUCCACUGUGCACGAGCACUCCCAGUACACUUUGCUGCCAGUAAAAUGCUGCAGUGUGUCAGCCCGUCACUGUUCAUAAACUAGCACCUCCACAGCAAUGCACAACAGAACUAGGACCUGAUGACUCUCCGACAUUCCAAACAACAAUAACCGAUUCUGGAAAUGACUCAGCGAGGCCAAAGGUACAAAAGAACACUUCACAAUGAAGACAAGGUUUAGAAGAAAGUUUGCUGAUAUAUAACAUUGAGGAGGUGGGAUACAAGGCGGACUGAGGCUGACCCAGAUGGUUGAUGUAUAUCACUGAAACGGUGGGGGGGGGGGGGGGUAUGAGGAGACUGGACAGAGGUUGAACAAGAUGAACAGAUGGAACCAGGUGGGAGAAGGGAUCAAGGACGAUCACUGAUGGUCCUCCAGCAACACAUAGGUACUGAAUGAAUAGUACAUACUAUCGUACAAAAGAUUCUAAAAUGACAGAAUUAGCUAAAAUAACAAGAGCUUUGCCGGAUAUAUUUUGACCCUCACCAGAUUUUUGUCAACCCACCAUAGGAAGUUUCCCAUCCGGACACUUCACGCUUUGAAUGGUAACUACUCUGCCCAUGACUGCGAGGAACUGGUAAGACCUUUGGAUCCAGAUCAGCACAUCACAGAAACCAUUCUCCCCCCUAGACUUGCCAGUCCCUUGGUAAAGCAGGCAGUGAAAUCAAAGAUCCCCACAACCUGGGUCAUUCUCCUUCCUCACCCACCCCAAUCCGGGAGGAGACACAACAGGCAUAAAGCUCCAGGACAAAUGUGAGGAGCCUCAGGAAGCGCGGCGAGUUCGGGGGAAGUUAACGGGACUCAGUGACCAAAAUCAGAUUUCCCAACACAACAUGGAGGAUGCGUGACCACCCAUCUGGAGAUUGUAAACACGCACAAAGAGAUCGUUACUUCUGCGGUUAAAUGGGAGGGGCAAAUGAGAUCAUGUGACCGGUGAGGUCGAACACCCCAGGCAUAGUCUCCAGCUUCCCAGCACUCUGUGGAAAUAAACAAACUUGCCCCUCACAUCUCCUCUCACCUUAAAUGUGUCAGACAUUUCAAACCCCAGGUAAAACAUAACGUCUGUAUCUACUCCUCUCAUAAUCUUGUAAACUUCCAUCCAGUCUCACCCCAGCCUGGCUGUUCUGGAGAAAACAACACAAGUUUGUCCUGCCUCUUGUUAAAGCUCAUGCCCUCUAAUCCAGGCAGUUUCCUGGUACACCUCUUCUGCGCCCUCUCCAAAGCCCCGACAUCAUUCCGAGAAUGGGGGCGACCAGAACUGUAUGAAACACUCCAGAUGUGGUCUAACUAGUUUUACAAAGCUGCAACACAACUUCAUGAGUUUUGAACUCAGGGCUUCAACUAAUAAAGACAACCAUGCCAUUUGCCUUCUUGACCAUCUGAUCAAUCUGUGCAGUCUCUCUCAGGAAGCGAUGAACUUGGAGUCUAAGAUCUUUCUGAUCAUCAACACUGUCCAGGGUUUUGCAUUUAACACUGUACUGUCUCAUACAUUCAGGGCUGCAGUGCUACCAGAGCGGAGUGCCACUCCAGCACCUCUGUAAAAAACAGUCAAAAUAAACAAGCCGGAAAUUUAACAACGGCCGCAUAUUAAAUAGAGGGAAUCUUACAGAAGCGGGGGUUGGGAAGAGGGGGUGUUGGCUGAUGGGGAAAAAUACCACUAAUAACUUUAGGAUAUUUGAUCAUUUUUGGUGAAUUUUUUUAUUUAGGUAUUUGUGAAAUUCCUUCUCGCUCGACCUGUUGUCCUAGGAAGCUGGGAAAUACCUGUACACAAAUGCGAGCAUUUUUCUGCUUUUUCAAAUGGGUACCAUUGGAUUCCUUGAAGAAGCAGGAUUAGGCAAGGAAUGAUCAUGGAAAUCCAAGUUUAAUAGUUGAAAACAAUGAAAGAAAAAUUCACUGCUCGCUUAUCUUUGUCCUGAUUUUGAGCAAAUACACAAGCUAAUCAUCCAAAAUCCUCUUCUACACCUAGAUAAAUUAAAUCUUGUUUUACAAGCCAAAUGGAAUAAAAGACAUUCCUAGGCUUUAAGCUAGUUUUACGUCAUUUCAGCUAUCAUUAAUAGUGGAUCAACUCCUUGGCCUCGCUCCACCAACUGUAGUUGAUUGAAAAGAGGCUCUUUUUCUCUUUGUGUUGACAGGAAAAAGAGUAAUUUAGUGAGGCAAUGAACGAGAUGAAAUGCAUUCCCAAGACUCCCAAAUGGUUGCUCUCCUCCCCGUUAACAUUUAUCACUUCCAAAAUACAAUAUUUUCUAUUCGUAUAGAUUCGAUAAUAAUGUAUGUAAAGAUUCAAGCCUCUUCAAUUUUUUAUAUAUUUAAAGACCAAACAGGAUCUGUAAAGGUUUAACCAUGUAACACCCGACCUGUGAGGAUAUUGUGAGUAUCAACACUCACAGGUACACUUCCCAUCCAAUCAUUUCUGCGAGAGAAAUGGUACGAGGCAGUUGC